rnacentral:rRNA from 1 species
GAUCGAUGGCUACAGGAAUGAACGCUGGCGGCAGGCUUAAUACAUGCAAGUCGAACGGUAAGGUCCGAGGUAGCAAUACCGAGGAUACACGAGUGGCGCACGGGUGCGUAACGCGUAUGCAACCUACCUUUGACUGGAACAUAACGUUGAGAAAUCGGCGCUAAUAUUCCAUGUGGUUAUGACCCGGCAUCGGGAUGUAACUAAAGAUUUAUUGGUCAAGGAUGGGCAUGCGUAUCAUUAGCUAGUUGGCGGGGUAACGGCCCACCAAGGCGACGAUGAUUAGGGGUUCUGAGAGGAUUACCCCCCACACUGGAACUGAGACACGGUCCAGACUCCUACGGGAGGCAGCAGUAGGGAAUAUUGGGCAAUGGAGGCAACUCUGACCCAGCCAUGCCGCGUGCCAGGAAGACGGCCCUAUGGGUUGUAAACUGCUUUUGUCAUGGAGUAAGGCGGGGGACGUGUCCCCCGUUGCAAGUACAUGACGAAUAAGCAUCGGCUAACUCCGUGCCAGCCGCGGC